rnacentral:rRNA from 1 species
UACGGGGGGAGCAAGCGUUGUUCGGAUUUACUGGGCGUAAAGGGCGCGUAGGCGGUCGUGACAAGUCACUUGUGAAAUCUCCGGGCUUAACUCGGAACGGUCAAGUGAUACUGUCGGACUAGAGUACAGAAGGGGCAACUGGAAUUCUCGGUGUAGCGGUGAAAUGUGUAGAGAUCGGGAGGAACACCGGUGGCGAAGGCGGGUCUCUGGGCAACUCCUGACGCUGAGGCGCGAAAGCGUGGGGAGCAAACGGG